AACUGCUUCUAUCUACUCUGAAAUCUCUUCAUCAAUCGCGCAAAUCUCUUUUUCUUCUUAUCAAUCUCUUCACCAACAACCUACCAAUUGAUCUUUUCAUCAACCUAUUCAGGUAGAAUUCGAUCUCAAUUAGCUCUUAUCUUGAGUUUAAAUGCUUCAAUUUGCUCUGUUUUUGAAUUAUUUUUCUCAAAUUUUCUUAGAACAAACAAAAUUACAUGAAAUAUUGAUAUAUUCUAGUUAAUUUUGUUUGAUUAUAUAUAGUUCAGUAUAAUUGUUGUGUUCUAGGUUUUGAUAUUAUGGGAAGUUAGAAUGAAAUUCUGAAAUCUCUUCAUCAAUUUAUUGAAAUUAUGGGAAGUUAGAAUGAAAUUCUGAAAUCUCUUUGUUAUGUUCUAGAUUUUGGUUAUUUGUUUGUGUGUAUUUUUUUUCUUUAAUGCUUCCAAUCUGUUUGAUGAAAUGCUUAAGCCAUUACUUCAAUUCCGAUUUUUUUUUUUAAGUAUUGAAUAUUUCAUCUCAAUUCCUUUAAUUCCGAUUUUUUUGUUAUAAUUCUGUCAUUAGAACACUAGUAAUGUUUAGUGUUGAUUUCUUUACUAAUUAAAUUUAACAAGUUGUUCAUGUUAAGCAACCUGCUUUGGUCAAUAUACCAAUGUCAUUAGAACACUAGUAAUGUUAUUGUCGAUUCUUCAAUCCCACUUUAGUGACAGAUUACAAUUUUACCCACUUUAUCAAAUGAAUUUUGAUCGGGACACACUUUAUGGUUUUCUGUUUGUUUCAUGUCAUUGUUAAAAACAUCUCAUUUUGUAGAAAAUCAAAUAUAUAUUGACUGGAAUCUGGAAUCAUAAAGCAACAUUAAAUUAAUUUAAAGGGCCAACCAACGCAACAAAGGUAUCAUGCUACAUUAAUAUAGUUAGUAUAAAUUCUUAUUCCUGUUUCAAGUCCAUAAACUAAUGUUUUGUAUUGUAUAUUUGCAGCAAAAGUUUAUCCUCAAGGAAGAAGCAAGAGAGUAUGUCAUGAAGGAUGCCGGAUGUUUAUGGAGAUUAGGAAAAUCCAGGCUACACUCAUUGAUUGAUGCAUGUAAAAAUGAAAGUGAGUUACGCGAAGCAAGAGAGUAUGUCAUGAACAAUGGAAGAGCUUGAUUAGACUACAUAGAUCAAAAACAUUUCAGGUUUGUCCCUUUGUUUGUGGUUGUGAAUUGUUAGAGCUUGGAUGUUCAUUGUUAAAAAUAACUAUAUUGUAGGAAAAGAGGAACAAAUUCAGUAUGUAGGGGGCAGUAUGUAGUAGUGCAGAAUACAAAGGUUAUCCAUUUAUGUAGGGUAGACUACAGAGUAAGUAGUAGUUUGCAAACAUUAUGACUUUGUUCUUUAACUAGAUACCUUAGUUAAUUAAUUUUUUCCCACCACUGCAAAUAUAAUUUUGAAACAAAAUGAUAGGCAAGACGAGUCGAAAAUAGCUUUCCA
rnacentral:lncRNA from 1 species